GCGCGCCACCGUGUGUCAACUCGUGGUAUUGCAAUACAAAAUGUCUCAUGCCUGCAAGUUUUGGCUGGUGUAUGUCAACAAAGCAGCUAACCAACACACUUCGGUGGAUUAGGAUGAUAAGACUAGCAUGGCGUCGGUCGGCGUCCAGAAAUAGCCGCGUGGAGCCCGCACGCCUUUUAGCUGCAGCUUUUUUGGGAGCGGACGGUCCUCAGCAGAACUCCGGGUGUCACGUUAGGUGCUUCAGACAGAUCCUCCACCCACCAAGCGAGAGGUCACCGCGCCACCACCUUCCACAGCCGGCCUGCUACCUCAGCUCGUCUGUCUUCAUGAGCAUGGCGUCAGGAGGGACGUCGUCCACCUCCCCCCACAAACACACCAACAGGUUGGCCGAGGAGAGGUCGCCCUACCUGCUGCAACACGCACACAACCCCGUCGACUGGUAUCCCUGGGGACAAGAUGCUUUCGACAAAGCCAAGAAUGAAGACAAGCCGAUCUUUUUAUCAGUGGGCUACUCCACGUGCCACUGGUGCCAUGUUAUGGAGAGGGAGUCUUUCGAAGACGAGGAAAUUGGCAAAAUCCUGAGUGACAACUUUGUCUGCAUCAAAGUGGACCGAGAAGAGCGACCCGAUGUGGACAAGGUCUACAUGACCUUUGUACAGGCGACCAGCGGUGGCGGAGGUUGGCCCAUGAGUGUGUGGCUGACUCCUGACCUACGACCUUUCAUUGGAGGCACCUACUUCCCUCCCACGGACCACGCAAGGAGACCUGGACUCAAAACGGUUCUCAAGCGAAUCAUUGAACAGUGGCAGAAUAACCGCCCUGCUCUGGAGUCCAGCGGAGAGAGGAUCCUUGAAGCCCUGAAGAAGGGCACGGCCGUCGCCGCGAACCCAGGAGACAGUCCUCCGCCCGCCACAGAGGUCGCUGACCGCUGCUUUCAGCAGUUAGCGCACUCCUACGAGGAGGAGUACGGGGGCUUCAGGGACGCUCCAAAGUUCCCCACACCAGUGAAUCUGAUGUUCCUCAUGUCGUACUGGUCCGUGAAUCGCUCCACCUCAGAGGGGGUCGAGGCUCUCCAGAUGGCCUUGCACACACUCCGCAUGAUGGCGCUGGGCGGCAUCCACGACCACGUGGCUCAGGGUUUUCAUCGCUACUCUACAGAUUCCUCCUGGCACGUUCCCCACUUUGAGAAGAUGUUGUACGACCAGGCCCAGCUGGCUGUAGCCUACGUAACUGCCUCCCAGGUAUCAGGUGAGCAGCUCUUUGCAGAUGUGGCUAAGGACAUACUGCUGUACGUCUCCAGAGACCUGAGUGACAAGUCCGGAGGCUUCUACAGCGCAGAGGAUGCGGACUCAGUCCCGGCAUCGGGGGGGCCAGAGAAGCGAGAGGGGGCUUUCUGCAUCUGGACAGCCUCGGACGUUCGGGAGCUGCUGCCGGAUGUGGUUGAGGGCGCCACCGGAGCGGCCACGCAGGCAGACAUCUUCAUGCACCACUACGGGGUCAAGGAGCUUGGCAAUGUUGCUCCGGAACAGGACCCCCACGGCGAGCUGCAAGGCCAGAAUGUGCUGAUCGUGCGCUAUUCGGUGGAGUUGACGGCUGCUCGUUUUGGCAUCAGCGUGGACAAAGCCAAUGAGCUCCUGGCCUCGGCCAGGAGCAAAAUGGCAAAAGUGAGGGAGAGUCGGCCACGCCCACAUCUGGACACCAAGAUGUUGGCCUCCUGGAAUGGUCUCAUGCUGUCGGCCUACGCCGGUGUCGGAGCCGUGCUGGGGGACAAGGCCCUGCUGGAGAGGGCGGUGCGGGCGGGCAACUUCCUCAAGGAGCACCUGUGGGAUGCUGAACGGCAGACCGUCCUCAGGUCCUGUUACCGGGGAGACGAGAUGGAGGUGACACAGAUAUCUCCGCCCAUCUCUGGCUUCCUGGACGACUACGCCUUCGUCAUUUGCGGCCUGCUGGACCUGUACGAGGCCACGCUGCAGACGGAGUGGUUGCAGUGGGCCGAGGAGCUGCAGCUGCGGCAGGACGCGCUGUUCUGGGACGACCAGGGUGGAGGCUACUUCUGCAGCGAUCCCGGUGACGCCACAGUGCUGCUGCAGCUCAAAGAGGAUCAGGACGGAGCUGAGCCCAGCGCUAACUCGGUGUCGGCGUCCAAUCUCCUGCGUCUGUCCCACUACUCCGGCAGACGGGAGUGGCUCCAGAGGUCCCAACAGCUGCUGGCAGCGUUCUCCGACCGCCUGACCAGGGUCCCCAUAGCGCUGCCUGAAAUGGUUCAGGCCCUCAUGGCCCAGCACUACACGCUUCAACAGAUCGUGAUCUGUGGCCAGAGGGAUGCCCCGGACACCGCCAGUCUUCUAGCAGCAGUCAACUCCCUCUUUCUACCACAUAAGGUUUUGAUGCACAUCGACGGCGAUGCAGACGGAUUCCUGCGGCAGCGGCUGCCCGUCCUCUCCUCCAUGUCCCAGCAAGGUGGUGUGGCCACAGCCUACGUCUGCCAGGACUUCACCUGUUCUCUCCCUGUCACUGACCCCCAGGAACUGCGCAGGCUUCUGCUGGACGGGACCACGGAGAGACGGGCAGAAUGACCACUGCACUAUUUAUUGACUGACCUGGGAUUUACCGGGAGGGCUGUAAUCUUCUAAACUAAAAUAGAUUAUUUCGGCUGUGAGUCUGACUCUGCCAUAUAAGAAUGCCAAUGCUUUAAAAGUCGAUACGCUACAUUGGAAGAAAUACAUACAGUACCAUGAGGUGACUAGGGCCUCCAGUCCUUCAUACUAAACUCCAACCUAUUCUUUGUUAGCAAGACCAGCUAGGCAUUACCUCGAAUAUGGCUUUCAGAGACGGUUGAUCAGUGGAGCCAUAUUCAAAUUCAGGUCUCUAAAUGUCCUUGUAAAGAAACACGUGCAGCAGCAGUGGCAGUCCACUGAGAAUAUUUAACACUUGUACAAAAUGUCCUGGCUUAGCUGUUACCCCGGAAGUAAGCUACAGACUCGUAAUAGACUAUAACAUGAGACCGCUUGGAUGAAUUGGACUGGCAAUAUUCUGCAGAUGAACCGAUGUGCCCUGUUGUCCUCUCCUGGCCCUGUGUUCCUGCUCUCUACAUUCAUGUCACAUGGAUCUGACAGUCCGCUUGCCUGUGUGUGUGUGUGUGUGUGUGUGUGUGUGUGUGUGUGUGUGUGUGUGUGUGUGUGUGUGUGUGUGUGUGUGUGUGUGUGUGUGUGUGUGUGUAUCCAGUGCGUUUAUUGGUCCCAGUGGAGCUGCAUUCACACAGUCACCUAACAGCUUUACUGGUCGCCCUCGAUUGAUCGAUUGUUCAUAACCAGAAAUGCGUCAUGUUUUUCUUGUCUUUGUGUGUGUAUGGCUGCUGAAGGGUUUGAGUUCUCAGAGCCUUAUUGAAUCAUUCCUGCCACUGACGUGCGUUAUUGAUUCCAUAAGUGUACAGACCUUCGCUCAUUCAGUUGUCUGUACUCUGUAAAGGAGGGGAGCAGGAGAGAGAGAGCAGGGGGGCUCUCAACGUCCAUCUUGCUCUCUUGGUGUGUGUGUGUAUGUGUCGUGUGUGUGUUUUUUUGGUGUCUGGAUGUGAGAGAGCUAUUGGAGGGAGUGUUUCCUUAGGGUGACACCGCUCUGCUCUGCUGUGUGUGUGUGUGUGUGUGUUCAUGUCAUUCGGAUUACCUCCGCUCCUUCCUCCCCCGACUGCCGCCCUCCCACGCCUCACCUCAACUCCCUCCCUCCGUCCCUCCACCCCUUCCGCCUCGUCUCUCGCUCCCCUUCCUCUCUCCUCAUUUGUCACCGUUUUUGAUUGAGAUGCCGAGCAGGCCUGUCCUCCUCCUCCUCCUCCUCUUCCCUUGAGGAAUGUUGUCCUCUCUUUCGCAUCUUGUUCUUCCCUCGCCCUCCUCUCAUCCUUCUUUCCCUUUUUCUUUACUCUGCCUCAGUCUCCACAGCUGAUUUCCAUGUCUGUAAAUGUCAAAUCUUUAAAAGGUCCUACAAAUAUACUUUUUUUUUUUAAGCAUUCGGGGCACAUGAGUCCCUCGUGGCUCCUCGGGGAGCAAAGGCGAUCGUGGCACUAUUAUCCAAGUCAGGGCCUCUCAAACAUUUUCAUAUCAUGGUCCCCAUACGAACAACACGUGAUAUUGUGCUCUUUCAGGUGUUUAAUUCUCAGGUUGUACGUGUAGCCAAGUGUACGAUAAUUAUCGGAUUUAUGCGAUUGUUUUGCACCGUUGUACGAUCCACGCAGCUCUAAAAUAUUUUCUCGAUUUUUUUCCCAUCCAGUAGUUGCUGCGUUACAAAAGAACCUGACCCAGGAUCUGAUGUAAAUGAUCCAAUCAAAUAUCACAACCCCUUGCAAAGUCCUUAGUGACGUUUUUCACAACUCCCAUAGUAAAACGUGUCGACCCGUUAAGCUAUGUCUGAGUGCUUGCACGCUGGGAUGCACAGUGGGUCCCAAAGCCUGCAUUAUAAAUGCUGACCUGAGGUCCAUUGCGUCACCCAUCACAGACCUUUGGCACAGAUUCAUGAAUACGUUGCAAACCCUAGUUGUGGCUGCGGCGUAGUCUGGAUUCAAUGUGCAAUAGUUUGCCCUGAAAUGGGAUAAUUCCGGAGUAACAUUGGAGUCUUAUCUGAGAUCAAGUUCUUUUUUCUGUUUUCUGAUGGCCGUCUGAUUCUACUAAAGUCAGACUGGUUUCUGUUUUUUUUUUGCACGGAUCCGUUCUGCAAAGAUUCACGGACCCCGCUUUGAAAUUUUUGAAUGAGGAUUUGCACGUAUUGAAGUGACUGCUGGUUGAUUUGCGACGAAGGCCCUCUGUUUGUGUGUGUUUACGUGUGUCCCCACGGCUAUGUCUACCUGUACUGAUUUACGAAAAGGUCACCGCUUCCGUAAUGCAUGAACGUCACUGAGAUCGAUCCGUCUCUGUGUGCCCCUGUGCGUGCAUGCGUGCGCUCCCGUGUUUGAAUCCGUGUGCACGCUAUUGCUUCGCGUCCAGAGAGCAAGACGUAUAUCUUGCUAUAUUUCUGACCUCGUCCUCUCCCGAGCUGUGGCCCUUCUCUGCCGCUGUCGCUGCUUUCUGGUUGGGAGAGUUAAUCUCCCAACCAGAAAGCAGACCAACAACAUGGGAGCGCCCGACUGAUCUCGGGGCCAGAAUCCAUUCUAAACAGGCAUAUUCUCGGUAAGCCCUCGGCCUUGGGCGGCCCGCGGCCAUUUUCAGCAGUCUGAAGUAAUUAGGACCCCUGGAUGCUCGCGGAGGUAUUUAAGGUUUAAUUGAAGACCCCUGGGGUGAACGCUCUGAGUGAUGUUUUGCCCAGCACAUUGCCUGUGCGAAAUCCCCUCUGCUGGUUUUGCUAAUGAUUCCUGCAGAAUCCGCCGCACGAUAGAGAGUGAGAGCUUUUCUAUGCGUUGUGUGUGUGUGUGUGUGUAUGUGCGAGGUUGUGUAAGCAGCACACACACUUUCACAGGACUCCCGUAGGUGUCUCCUCUCUGGUGGGGGAGCUGGAUGUUGAUGCCAAGACGGAGGAGGAGGGGAGUUUUGGGAACGUGUCCAGUGCUCUCUAUAUCUUUCGCUCGUGCCGAUUUAAGCAGAGGAUUACACGGCGCAGAACAGCGAGGGAGAACACCUGGCCGGGCUAGGUGUUUUGUCAUCGCGUUGAAAUAGCCUCACUGGAGGGCCCGACAACAGCGGAGGGAUUUUAGGGAAAACAUGCUACCGAUUCCUUAUUUUUUGCUUCUGUUUCGCUCUCCUGCAGGCUUUCACAUUUGUUGCUCCGAUGCGUCCGUCAAAUAGCGGAAGCCGAAGCGAAUGCUUACUCAAUCAGCAGAAAAUGUCUCCUGCCCUCCCCGUCGCCUGUUCUCCCCUCACCCCCACUCCUCCUCCUCUUCCUCCUCGUCUGCUUUUCUUCUCCCCACCGUACCCCUGGCUUUUUUUGUUUUCCUCCUCUGGAGUUAAAAGCCUCAUGUUGGCUGUAGAGUGAGGAGGUGUGUUUCUGUGUGUGUGUGUGUGUGUGUGUGUGUGUGUGUGUGUGUGUGUGUGUGUGUGUGUGUUUGCCAUCUCUGACGGCCUCCAAAACCAGUAGAAGAAGAAGGGGGGAGAAAAAUGUGGAAAAAAACCGAGGCUCAGUUGGAGAGCCGUUUGGGAUUUCAGAGAGCAUUUUUUAAGAGGUGAAAAAGUAGGCCCAUACCAGCCAUCAACUUUACUUUCAUAUUCCCCCCCCCCCGCCCCUUGUUCCUUAGAGAAUUUCAGACAUUUCCAACUUCUUGCCGUUCGAGAGCUUCAUCCUAUGAACUGAAUGCUCUCUGAAAUUCACCAGGAGGCUGACAUGAACAUGACGGAUUAUGUAUGAUGAAGUAUUAAUUUACUGAACCAUGCUAUAGGCCUUUUUGUGUGUGCGUGUGUCGGCGUGUGAUGGAAUGGGGGUACUUUUUUUUUUUUUUACUCCAUGAUUCAUGUGACUCGAUGAGCAUGUGAUGUGACGCGGGCAUGUAUUUUGCAUGUAAAGUGCUCGCCGCAAGAGAUGUGUUUCCGUGUGUAUAUUUAGAGCUGCGCUCAUUCAAUCAUUCGGCGAAUGACAACUAGCUGAGAUGUACGUCUCUCACGUCAAUUUCUACUCGCCAGACGGAUGAGGUCAGCCGGCGGUGUUGCGUGCACGCUGAGCGUGAUUGUUGACCAAUGAGAAGCUUUCUGGACUAGCUGAUGACCAAUCAGGGGAAUUGGAGGCCGUCAGCAAGUCAGCUGGACAAAAAAACGUUGGAGCUGAAAGUUUGCGAAAGGCAAUGGCACAAAUUUCAAUUUUAACGCUGGUGCUUUUCAUCGGCUGUGCUCCCGAUCUUCAUUUCCCUUGACCAUCUCCUGUAAAGAGUUAAAUCACAGUCAUGUGAUCAAUAUAAACACUUUAAGUGAUCCAGAUAUCUAAAACGUAGAUUGUCAUCAUCAAUAUUCUGUCACUCGAGUCAAAUAACAAGGCCUUUUCUUAGAACUGACAUCUUCCACUAAUCAUGCAACAUGCAGGUUGAAAUACAUCUCUGAAGAAGCAGCUAUAGAGGUAUGGCUUAUACACUCAAUAGACCAGAAUGCAAUGCAUUGAUGAUUUUACGAAUGCUUCCAUUCACAUGAUCGGUAUCGAGUGGAGUAGAACAGAAAGUAUCACAUGAAGUACUCUGUUGGUAUCACUAUCACUUUAAGGGUACUGGUAAUGGUAUCAUCUUUCUUCAAACAAUACCCAGCCCUACUUCCUGCCGUCGUGCAUUCCUUCGAGGUGACCAAAAGGCAUUCUGGGAAACGAAGGAAACCGAUGCGUUAAGUAAAGAGGGGAAAUGGGGGACAGCAAGUACGUAUCCAAUGGCACCUUUCUGUGAGCUCACUGCCAGAGACACACAUGUGUCUCGCUCUGCUCUCUAAUUCCUUUUUAAGAUGGAAACAAAAUGGUAGAAUAAAAAAAAGACGUUCAUAACUGGCAGCCACAGAACUCUUAAUAAAAGCACAGCUGUACAGACAAAAACAUCGAGAGCACCCACUCUUGCUGGCGUGGGCGCGCGUGUGUGUGUGUGGGGCUUUGUUAUUGUGCUAGAAAAAUCUUUUUUACAUUCAGAACCCAAUGCUAGUUAGUGGAGAUUUAUCACCGAGCUUCUUGCUUCUUGCUUCUUGGCUUUCGGGCAGGAAGGGAAAUGAGUAAGCGUUCAUCACAUCCCAACCCAAAUAUCAGCUGCGGCAUUUAUUAACAGCGGCGAUGUUAUUUCUACGUCCAUAUCGUGCGCCCCCCUUCCUCGUGUGCUUAAAAACGCGACUUACAUCUGUUGUGUACGCGCUCACUGGCAACCAUGGGUGUUUGAAGAAAGCGAAGGCUCCUUUCGUUUUGUUUUCGCAAAAAUGUGUUGGACUCAAUCCAAAUGCCGAUCCGCCGACCGAUAGAUCAGUCUGCUGGCGGUGAAACGCUCUUGACGCGCUGUACAGUAUGUGUGAUUCAGACACCUUGAAAGCGCCAAUUAUUGAUGAAUAACAGGAGUGACAAUCAAAAAAUGAUGGGAGGAGAGAGAGCGAGAGAGAGAGAUGGUGGAAGGGAGCGAGGCCAAGCUCAGACUGCAGUAAGGUGUGAGUAGAGACUCGGUAUGAGGUCUGUUCUUAAUGAGGAGCUUUGUUUAAGCUGUUAAACUGCAAACAUGCCGAGCACAAAGAAACCCCUUCUUUGUGCUCGGCCUGCUGCUUGAUUUUCUGAUUGCCACGCUGUAGUUUCAACCUAUAGUCAGCUCAUUAACGCACUUAAGUUUUCUACUCUGCACACCUGGUGUUUGUGGUAGUUUUUUUUUUUCCUGGGAAAAUCCCUUCCGUCAUUGCACACAAAGUGACACAUUAUUAUAUGUUACCAAAACUGCAGCGGGGUAUCAUUGGGGCCCGGCUAAAAGCAUUUUGAACAAAAAAAAAACGCCGGCGCGUUUUAGCAUUCCCAUUGAAAUCUCACGCAAUAAUAUAAAACCAUUAAACGGUUUGAAUACGGGCCUACUGGUGCAAAAGGCACCCUGUGGUGUAUCGAUGUCUGUUCGGAACACUGUAGAGUUUCUAUGCCUCACUGCUCCAUUCAGUUUUCACUGCGGAUGUAUUGAAUUUUUUUUAUGCCUCAACACUGAAGAAAACAGAACAGAAAGUUGAGUGUCCACGAGAGAGGAACGGAAACAGAUAAGGGCGCUGUUAAUAAGUUAAUACGUCAAUAUGGCUACAUGAAUAAAACCAACCUCACUCACAGGACAAUUUCCACAGCCAAUUCUCUCUCUCUCUCAUUGCACCUGUAAACAUUAUGCAACAGAUACAAGUACUGAAAACAUAUGUACAUGCCGUAUUAGCAUGUUUACAUGUCACAACUGAAGCUCUGUUUCAAAAUGUUGCGCUAUAGUUUGGUCGAGAAUCUAUCGUUCGGCAAGGAAAAUGGUGCAAAAAUGGCGGAUUCACACCAAACACAGCAACGAAUACUGGGAAAUGGAAUCUGGUGUUUUAUUUAUUGUUUCAUCAUCGGUGAACCAGGCCCAAUCAUGCGUACCUGUUAUGUCGCGUCUCACCUGUUCGGUGAAUGAACAGUUGGAAGACACUUUAAUUGGAAGGAUUUAUAACAUGAAAAAACAACUGCAGCAAGUGUCGAGUUUCAUUUACACUUCAUGUGUUGAUGUUCCUCAGGAAGAACGGUGCAGUGGAAUUAAUUAAAACGAGUAUUUGUAUUUGUGAUGGAUUCAGAGUUGUGGGAAUGACCACUGUAAAAGAUCUCCCAUUUGAGACAUCGUACUUGUAAUUCCAACCCAUCCCGUGUUUAUUCGGGCUAGUAUUUGAGACCUGGACAUAUUUCGGUAUUUACUGUAGAUGAACAUGGAAAGACAGAUGAAGGAAGAAAAACAUUAUGGUGCUCCAGACACUGCUUCAACCAGUGACUAAAAAAACCAACAAAAAAAAAAUCACAUAAUCAAUUGCAAGUACUCAAGGGUGUCUGCCUGUCUGGCUUUUACCUCCAGUGGAAAGCCUUAGCAUUCUAAUGUAAACACUCAGAACAGAUUGCAUUCGAGUACUGCCUGUUGUUUUAUUCACAAUGGAGCUCUGCGGACUGAAGGUGGUGGGUUUGUGGCUGCUCUCCAGCGAAGCCAUCGCGGGUUCUCUGAUUACCUGCGUAACCCGGUUUCUCAGAGUAACCCGGUUACUUAAGUGCCAAAAGUGACUUGAGUUUGUGGGCCGGGCCUGGCAGCUGUCUUUGUGUGUGGGUGUGUGUGUGUGUGUGUUGGCAGGGGAGGACCGGCUAACCUGAUACACACCCGGUGAGACUCCGACCACAGUGAUUCAGGGGCAAACCGCUAAACUCCAGUGUAGACUGCCAGACAGCAGCAGGAAGCACUCUCACUGUCUCUCUCCCUCUGUGUGUGUGUGUGUGUGUGUGUGUGUGUGUGUGGCUGUGUCCAUGUGUCAGUUUAUGGUGUUUCUAAAUGUGCUUUGUGCUCAAAGUUUAAACAUUGAUCUGUUUGUUUUUCUGCCCGUUUCCAAGUAUGAAAAGCAUCUUUUUCUGCGGUUCUUUUGUGUGUGUGUGUGUGUGUGUGUGUGUGUGUGUGCCUCUCUCUUGAUUGUGGCUGAGGCAGCAGCAACAUUUAUGCACUUGUAUUCUGGGGUGUUGCUUCCUUUCUCUUGUCAGACUCUGUUGUGCUCUUCCACCCCCCGUGACUCCGGUGGCCUAGUUAACAAAUUAAUGUGAAUCCUGUUAAAAAAGAAAAAAAAACACAUGGCUAGCUUCCCAAACAGAGGAAAAAGAAGGAGAGUUGGAGGAAAAGAGAGAAAAUAGGAGCAGCGGAGGAGUCAGAUGUCAGGAGGUAGUGAAGCAGAGAGGGAGGGACUUCACAAAGUCUUAUGUAAAAAUCACUUGGCGGUGUGUGUCUCACCCGCCCAUAUUCUGUGUCUUUGUUGUCCGCGGUUUGAAAUGCGCAAAGUCACGCGUGCGUGUUUGUCUCCGCACGGCAAAGUUUAUCCCUGAUUUUCAAUCAAUUCUUUGUACGGGGAGAACAAUUAGUGCACAUGAAACACAGCGGUUAAUGACUGCUACUUCAGAUAACGGCUUGUCAUGAAAAAAAGAAAAGAAAUCCUUCCACUGUCAUCUGCAGUUAGUUAUCCGGAACGGAGGUCUGGUUCGAUGAUUGGUUCGGUUAAUGGGUUGGACGCUUUGAUGGUUUGCUGUUUGGUUAGGCGGUAGGUUGACUAGUUAGGAGAUAGGUAGGUUACCUGGGUGGGAAGGUGAUUGGGUGAUUGUCCCACUGGUUGGCAGGGUGGUUGGUUGGUUAGUUGGUUGACUGGUAUAGGUGCCUGUUGACUGAAUGAUCGGGUGUUGGACUGGUUGGUAGAUUGGUUGGCUGACUGGUUGGGUAUUUGGUUGCUUGGGGUUUAUUUAGUUCUUUAACUAAUUGGAUGGUUUAAUGGUGAUUUAAUUGGGUGGUUUCUUGGUAGAUUUGUGGGUUGACUGGUUGGAUAUUUGAUUGGUCCAUUGGUUGAUGGUGUGGUUUGCCGAUUGGGGGGGUAAAUUUGUGUGUUCACUGGCUGGGUAUUGAAUUGGGUUUGUGGGGUGGUUGAUUGGUUGGAUAAUUGGCUCCUGACUGGUUGUUCAGGUUGACUUUAGAAAAAUACUUUUUUACUCUUCAACGUGAAAUGAAGUUGGUAGGCUACAAGUUACAGCUAAAAUGGUUGAAAUAUUACAAUUCAUUUAUACACCCACCCUAAAACAAAGCGUUUGAAGAAAUCAAAUUUCUUAAAGAAAUCCAACUUUUGAAAAUGUAAAUCUAUCCUGCGUUCACUUGAUGCCAACAGGUUACAAAAUAGUACCUCGAUCUUAAGUUCAGUCCUGGAAACAACAGAGGUGUUUCCAUUUGAUAUGCAACCUACUAUACAGUCUAUACACAUAUAAAGUGUAUCGAAAGCAAUGAGGACAUGACCUUUCUAAAUUUAUUUUAUUUUCCUUCUCAUUUUAUAAUGAGUUUUUCGUCUUCUUCUUCCUCAGCCCCUCUCUUCUCGGGCUGUUCCGUGAGAUGGCUGUAAGUUUAUGUAGGACUCAGUCCAGGAUUUUCCUACCAGCUUUUUCUCAUUAGGGUAUUGUAGGAGACUCGAGCUUGGCUGCACAGAGUGGCAACAGAAAGGGGGGGGGGGGGGGAGCUAUACACUUACUCUUACUCAGCAAAAUCUCACUGGCCGGCUAAAUCGAGUUAUCUUUUAACUGUCUCACGUCAUAGCCAAUACCUCAGUCUCUGCUUUCUCCUCCACCUCUCUGCUUACUCACCUCGCUUCACCUUUUCUCUCCAUCCCUCCACAUACUUCAAUAUUCUCCAGACAUAUUCACUCCGAGGCUUCCUAGAACGCUGCCCCUUCUUUCUCUUCUUCACAACAAGCUACCAUAGCUACUAUAGACAUACGUAUUAAUAAGUUGGUGAACAGCACAGGAGGGGAUGCCAUGUCUGACAGAAGUGCACUUUUUUGGACCCUGUUACUAACUGGGGACUCAGGUGGCGUUGACACACACCAGAUCCGACCGCUUGCCUUAUCUCAGUGACCAACACACACACACACACACACACACACACACACACACAUCUUCUCAAGGGGCAAACAUGCAGAGCGUCUAGUCGGUCGACUGUCAAAAUCCGCCCGCUAAGGAAUUGCCGGCAUUUUCAAUAAUUCACGCGCACAGGAGCACAUCUUUCUCGCCACUUUUGUCUCCCCCCCUCCGCCUCCCUCCUCCUCCCCUCCUCGCUCUCUGUAUCUCGAUCUCGAUCGCUCUCUGUCAAGUCAUCAGGACACUAAUCAGGAUUUUCCCGCAGCAGGAACGGGGAGUCUGGUGGAGGAGCGAGGAAAAAAAAGAAGAAGAAAAAAAAGCGGGAGCUGUCUUAUUAUAGAUAACAAACGAGGGAUAUAAAUACCUCUUGGGGUGGGAAGCUUAUAUAAGAGUCAUGAUGGGUCCAUUGGCCUCUCAGCCCGCCUGUGCACAAGAUUAUAUGUGUGUGUGUGUGUGUGUGUGUGUUUGUGUGUGUAUGUCUCUCUCUACAUCUCUGUGCAAUGUGCAUAUGUGUCCUGUCCAUAGCCUUGUUCAGCUAUAUAGCUCCCAUAGAUCUGUUUGCUUGCCUCCACCUACAGCCAGUGCCUUGAUAAAUCCCUCCCUUUAAAGCUCCUACAAAGACAGAGUUUUCAGUCAACGUAAGCAUAAAAAGCUAACUCUCUACAGCUGAUUAAGCGUGCCGGUGACAGCUUUCAUUUCAGCUGUCAUUACUCAGAGUUUAGAGCGGUACAUCUGCCUGUGUGUGUUGUGUGAGAACGGAAAGCUCAUAUGACAAGAAUAAUGGGCCCACAGGCCUCGCAUGCAAAGCUCUACUGUAACUGUGGGUUAAGUGUGUGUAGUGUACAGUAUUUUUUGCCAUAUAUUGGCUUGUGUGCAGCUAAUGUAUGGGAAAGUCCCUGUGUGUAUCUGUGUGUGUGUUGUCGUACUGUUAUUUAGAGGUUGGAGGUCGUUAUCGGUGGAACCGAGUGCCGCGGUUACGUUCGGACACACACGCAUUACGAGGUCCACUUUCUCUCUGGAAAUAUCUGCGUGCAUGUGAUCACCUCCCGAUAAUAAUCUGAUCAACAGCUAUGGUCCCCAUGAAAUGACAGUCGUACCUUGAGACCAGGAGAUGGGGGGCUGUUCUCUUAGUGACCAAAAAAAGCCAACAAUUCACUUUUCUCUUUUUAAUAACUAUAACUGCUCUCACCUAGAUUAUUGUGUGGUUAGUUUGAUGUUCAGUUACAGAUUAAUUUAGUUAGGUAUUAUUACUUUGACACAGAUGUUCCGCUCAACAGUUAUUUGGCUUUUUCCUGCUCCAAACUAUCGGUAUUAUAUCGGCCUUUAAAAUCCGCUGUCGGUCGACCUCUACUGUAAUCACUCCGCUCCACUUCAGUGCCCCUUUCCCUGCGAUCCCUUUUGCUCAGGCAGUGGCACUGACAUGACAAUAUACACACAUACACACCUAAACACACACACCUACACACACACACAUUGGGCUCUCUCCCCUCGGCGCUCGGCCCAAAUCACUGUGACAUUUACAGUUUCGCAGCCAUUAGAGCUUAAUGUCCGGGGGGGGGGGGGGGACUGCAUGAUAGUGGCUUCUCCGGAAUCAGAUCACAUCAUUUUGUGAGAGUGCCGAGCCCCAGCGUCCUUGUUACACCGCUACACCUGCACCGGGAUCAGCUGAGGAGGGAGCGGGAUCAGGUCCCAACAAGCCCCGAGGCUUACCGGGCUCAAAGGCGGUUACAGGGUCAGGUGGAAACAGGUGUAGUCUGCUAAAUAGAGCAAUGUCACAGAUCAGCGCAUUAGCACCUGAUGAUAGAGUCAUCCUUGUUAUUAAGUGAAUUUGAUAUAUGGAUUUGUAUGUGGCCGUUGUUGCCAUCAGCUGCCUGAUUUGAAUGUCGGACAAAAGCAAAUUUGAGUAUUAUUUGUAGUUGUCUAAAAAUACGAACAGGAGAUUUCCUGGUAUUGAGCCCGGGGUUUGAUGACAGCGUAGUAAAAAGAACAGGAGUAAUUAACGACACACGAUUGUGGCCGCCCUCAAUUAGGUUGCAGAUUUAAGGGAACUGGUGUUGGGUUUACUGGGACACUUAAGUCCUGAGCUUUAUCUGCUGUGACAGGCAAGUGUCAGCUUUCAAAAAGGUCUUAUUCAAAUUUAUUUUAUUGAGCUUUGGAGAUGCUGGUACAUAGAUUGUGUUAUACCUUUGGACAGAGCCAGAUUAGUUUCACCCUGUUUUCAGUCUUUAUGCUAAGCUAAACCAACUGCCUCCUGGCUAUAACAUUAGCUUCAUGUUUACCAUACGGACAUGUGUUAGCAGACAGCGGCCCGUUUUCGCCUUAGUCCAACACACUCUCCUUUUAUCUCUAUAAUAGAUUGAAUAUCUGGCUCUAUAGCUGCUAAAUGCUCUGCUACGUUCACUAGCUAGCCAUUAACAUUGGUCUGUGUGCCGUUUGUUUACCAGGCAGGGAGUGUACAGUGGCUUCAGUGCCGUUUUGACGUAAACAGCCUCACGCAGUGGCUGGAAAUUUGGCUGACGAGUUCUGUGUAACUGAACCAGUGGUACAUCUGUGGGCAGUCAAACCAAACACUGAGCAGAAAGAUGCUAAUACUACCACCAGCAGUUACUACCAGCGAUAACUUUCACAUUAAAAACAUAGCAAUCAUUGCUCAUAUUAUCCACGCCAGCAGGAUUAUGCGAUCGGUCACUUGCGUGCGUGCACCCGUGAGUGAGCGAGUGCACCUCUGUGUCUGUCCACGGCUAAUCUUGCUAAUCUUGCUACAGCAAACCGCAUAAUAUUUUGGGUUGCCCAGUAAUGGCCGCAUGGUGAAGGACCUCAUGUGGUUGCGGUGACUCACAUUUCCUCAAAACACCUAGUAUUGCUUGUUUUCUACUGCCAUUGACUGCCUGCCGACUUCAUAUAUGUUUAUACUUGUUUUAACCAAAUAAUCCUCUCAACACAAUCUGUGUAUUAUACACAGUAAGUAUGUUAUAUUGUGAAACACAAUUCACAUUACAUUUCAUACACUACAGUGUGUGACUGCUGCUUAGCAUCAUUGCUUCAGCAGAAAUUUAUGGCGGAUUAGCCCCUGAAUCGUGAAGCGGAAAGUAAUGAAAAAAAGGUUGGACAAAGUAAUAUAAAAAAUACAAAUCAUCCAUAUAUCUGGAAAGCCCACCAGCUAUACCCCAAACACUCUCGCGAGCUGAGAGCUCAUCACAAUGAGCCAGAAAUCUGCAGUGUGCAUCCCACACAGAUACAAAUGAUACCUAAAUGCAAACAGUUCCUCCAUCACACAUAUUGCAUUCAGACGCUCCCACACGUUCAUGAAUGUGACAAAAUCAUUUCUGGGAGGAAGAAAAAAAUAAAUAAAAAUGCAUUCGCUCCACCCGAGGGUGCAGGCCAUCCCACAUGCAGGAUGUGAAAGAGAGGUGAGAUCUGCUUUUUGUCUUGAUUAGUAUUUGUUCUUAGUCAUUUCAUCCUCCCUCUUCCCACUCUUUACCCUGUGCGCGUGUGUGUGUGUGUGUGUGUGUGUGUGUGUGCGUAUUAACAAGUGUGCAUACUGUUGCGUACCAUUCUGUAAGAUCUGUUCUUUAUUAGUCUUCAUAUUACCAAAGGCUAACUCAGCAUUGCUGGGCCACAGGCUCAUGGGAAGGUCUCGCUGCUUUGUUGCGUGCGUGUGUGUGUGUGUGUGUGUGUGUGUGUGUGUGUUUGUGCGUGCGUGUUUGUGUGUGAGUUUUGCAAUCAACCCUGGGUAACUGCAUACAGUUUGCAGAUGUAGACAGAGAGGGAAAUCCUGUCUGGUCCCCGGAGAGGUUUUGUGCGCGUGUGACGUGAAACAAGCUUGCACUGUAUGUUUGUUUGUGCGACAUGUAAUCCAGCGCGAGUGUGUUUACCUGUAUUUAUGUACUGAUUGCGUAGUUGCCAGCCCUCGCCAUGUGUGUGUACAGUAUGCCAUUUUUUUUCUUCUUCUUUUUUUCGUGGUAGUCAGUAGUGGCUCAGAUGGCACAUGUAGUCUAUCUGAGCGUGUGUGUACUGCACUUUGUAACACACUCACACACACACUUACUGUGCACACACACACACAAAGUGCAGCGAGGGGAGCCUCCGCGCUCGUGGUUUCGGCGUCCCUCGUUAACAUGCUCUGUUCAGGAUUUCCUACAAGAUGUGGCUUCAAAACCAGUUCCAGACUGCUCUCUCUCUCUCUCU